UGCCUCGACCCCAUCCCCGGGGAGAAGAGGCUCCUUCCUGCCGCCCCAAGCCCGGCUCAUGUUCAAAGCCCGGAGCAGACAGCGGCUAAUGAGGCCAGACAAUAGGGAGCUGCGUGGGGCAGCAGCGCUGGCACGGGCCGCCGCCGCCCCGAAGCCAGGACGGGAGGGGACGGCAGCCCCUCCACGCCACCCUCACCACGGGCAGGGCACGUGCCCACCGAGCCCACCGAGCCCACGGAGCCCACCCAGCAUUUUGGGGUGCAGGGGAGCGGCAGCGGCGCUGUUGGGGUGUCCCAUCCCCGCUGUGCCAAAGGGGCACCCCAAUGCCAUGGGGCCACGGGGCCACGGGGCCACGGGGCCGGGCACCUGCUCCAGGCGGAGGGGCUGUGGUGGCACAGGGGGCACGGGGUGGCUCGGGGUGCCCAGGGCUGCCCGCUGCCGGCCGGCUCCAUCCCCGUGUGGCUCCAGCUGCCCGCAGCCGGUGGCCCCGUUGGGGCUGCGCCGGCGCCAGGCCCGGCUCCGGAGCGCCUCAGAGCCGCCUUUGUGCAGGGCGCUCCCAGCACAUGUGGGGCGCUGGGAGCCAGCUGGGGGCACCGGGACCGUUUCCCAGAGCCGCCCCCGCCCUGCAAGCGCAGGGACCCCCGGGGCACCCGCUGUCCCUCGGGCUGGGGCACCCCUGGCUUUUCCAGGGGCACGCAGGGCCGGGGAUGAGCGAUGCCCGGGCGUGAUGGGGGCAUCUGCCCUCUGUCACCCCACCUCUGCUCCCUCCCAGCCCCUGUGCCCCCGCUGCAGCAGCGAUGCCCCCUCCCCAGGCAGGGAUGCCCCGCACCCUCCAGCCCUACUUUGCGCAGCCCCAACUCCAGCCUGGCGUUGCCGGGGCUGCCUCGCCGCCCUCUUCCCCUCCCCGUGCCUCAGUUUCCCCCAUGCCAAGGCUGCAGCUUCCCCGGCUUUCCUUCCUUCCCGGGAAAGGGGAGGGAGCUUCCCCCGCCGCUUCCCCACAUCCCCGCGGCCGAGCCAGGAGACUGUGACGAGCUCUGGGUGCGCGGAGCCAGCGCCGGAUUCCUGGCACCGGCGGGGCGGCUGGGAGCCAUCGCCCGCCUCCUCCCCGCUCGGCCCCGCUCGCGCCCCGCCGUCCCCCUGGGCCGCCGCCGCCGCCACCGCAGCGGGCACCGGGCGGCGAGGCUGGCACGGCCGCGCAGACCCCAGCCCUCCCCUGCCGCCGGAUCCCGGGCCGGCGGGGACGCCGGGAGAGAGGAGCGGGGACAGGCCUUUCCAUGGUGUCUGCUACCUGCCCGCCGCCGCCGCCACCCUCGCCAGCCCGGGCACAUGCGGGUGAAGAGCAGGAUCGGGGCUGGGUGCUGCUCUGCCAGCCUCCACCCCACAUCCCCACUGCCCUCCCUGGGCAAGGGACCCCGAGUGUCCGGGCUCCUGUCCCCCCCCAGCCUCUGCCACCGGUGGGCAGGGUCCUGGGGUCCCGCUCCGGGACCUUCCUCUGCCCAGCAGCAGCCGGAGGGAUGUGGGGAGGCCGAGGGCACCCCAAAUUGUGGGGUGCGUGUUGUUCUGGCACUGCAGGGUGCGGGGUGGGUUUGGGGGACAACACGGAGUGGAGGGGGGGGUCUGUAUGCCCUGGGGGUGGGCUGGGAGGGGUGGGCUUCAGGGGGUGCGUGCGCCACGGGGGCC
rnacentral:lncRNA from 1 species